rnacentral:lncRNA from 1 species
GUCAGUUAUAUGAUAAUAAAUAGAGGUUAGUGGCUCAGUAAUAGGAUAAUAAAUAGAGGUUAGUGACACACAGGGUCAGUUAUAUGAUAAUAAACAGAGGUUAGUGGCACAGAGGGUCAGUUAUAUGAUAAUAAAUAGAGGUUAGCGGCACAGAGGGUCAGUUAUAUGAUAAUAAAUAGAGGUUAGUGGCUCAGUUAUAUGAUAAUAAAUAGAGGUUAGAGGCAGAGAGGGUCAGUUAUAUGAUAAUAAAUAGAGGUUAGAGGCAGAGAGGGUCAGUUAUAUGAUAAUAAAUAGAGGUUAGUGAUCACAGAGGGUCAGUUAUAUGAUAAUAAAUAGAGGUUAGUGGCUCAGAGGGUCAGUUAUAUGAUAAUAAAUAGAGGUUAGCGGCAGAGAGGGUCAGUUAUAUGAUAAUAAAUAGAGGUUAGUGACACAGAGGGUCAGUUAUAUGAUAAUAAAUAGAGGUUAGCGACACAGAGGGUCAGUUAUAUGAUAAUAAAUAGAGGUUAGCGGCACAGAGGGUCAGUUAUAUGAUAAUAAAUAGAGGUUAGUGAUCACAGAGGGUCAGUUAUAUGAUA